rnacentral:rRNA from 1 species
UAAAGGUUCAUCGCUGAUAGAUAGGCAUGCGUUCCAUUAGGCAGUUGGCGGGGUAACGGCCCACCAAACCGACGAUGGAUAGGGGUUCUGAGAGGAAGGUCCCCCACAUUGGUACUGAGACACGGACCAAACUCCUACGGGAGGCAGCAGUGAGGAAUAUUGGUCAAUGGGCGUAAGCCUGAACCAGCCAAGUCGCGUGAGGGAUGAAGGUUCUAUGGAUCGUAAACCUCUUUUAUAAGGGAAUAAAGUGCGGGACGUGUCCCGUUUUGUAUGUACCUUAUGAAUAAGGAUCGGCUAACUCCGUGCCAGCAGCCGCGGUAAUACGGAGGAUCCGAGCGUUAUCCGGAUUUAUUGGGUUUAAAGGGUGCGUAGGCGGCCUUUUAAGUCAGCGGUGAAAGUCUGUGGCUCAACCAUAGAAUUGCCGUUGAAACUGGGAGGCUUGAGUAUGUUUGAGGCAGGCGGAAUGCGUGGUGUAGCGGUGAAAUGCUUAGAUAUCACGCAGAACCCCGAUUGCGAAGGCAGCCUGCCAAGCCAUGACUGACGCUGAUGCACGAAAGCGUGGGGAUCAAACAGGAUUAGAUACCCUGGUAGUCCACGCAGUA